rnacentral:rRNA from 1 species
GCUGGCGGCGUGCCUAAUACAUGCAAGUCGAGCGAGCUGAAUUCAAAGAUCCCUUCGGGAUGAUUUGUUGGACGCUAGCGGCGGAUGGGUGAGUAACACGUGGGCAAUCUGCCCUAAAGACUGGGAUACCACUUGGAAACAGGUGCUAAUACCGGAUAACAACAUGAAUCGCAUGAUUCAAGUUUGAAAGGCGGCGUAAGCUGUCACUUUAGGAUGAGCCCGCGGCGCAUUAGCUAGUUGGUGGGGUAAAGGCCUACCAAGGCAAUGAUGCGUAGCCGAGUUGAGAGACUGAUCGGCCACAUUGGGACUGAGACACGGCCCAAACUCCUACGGGAGGCAGCAGUAGGGAAUCUUCCACAAUGGACGCAAGUCUGAUGGAGCAACGCCGCGUGAGUGAAGAAGGUUUUCGGAUCGUAAAGCUCUGUUGUUGGUGAAGAAGGAUAGAGGCAGUAACUGGUCUUUAUUUGACGGUAAUCAACCAGAAAGUCACGGCUAACUACGUGCCAGCAGCCGCGGUAAUACGUAGGUGGCAAGCGUUGUCCGGAUUUAUUGGGCGUAAAGCGAGCGCAGGCGGAAUGAUAAGUCUGAUGUGAAAGCCCACGGCUCAACCGUGGAACUGCAUCGGAAACUGUCAUUCUUGAGUGCAGAAGAGGAGAGUGGAAUUCCAUGUGUAGCGGUGGAAUGCGUAGAUAUAUGGAAGAACACCAGUGGCGAAGGCGGCUCUCUGGUCUGCAACUGACGCUGAGGCUCGAAAGCAUGGGUAGCGAACAGGAUUAGAUACCCUGGUAGUCCAUGCCGUAAACGAUGAGCGCU